rnacentral:rRNA from 1 species
UACGUAGGGUGCAAGCGUUGUCCGGAAUUAUUGGGCGUAAAGAGCUCGUAGGCGGUUCGUCGCGUCGGCUGUGAAAACCCGGAGCUCAACUCCGGGCCUGCAGUCGAUACGGGCGGACUAGAGUUCGGCAGGGGAGAAUGGAAUUCCCGGUGUAGCGGUGAAAUGCGCAGAUAUCGGGAGGAACACCGGUGGCGAAGGCGGUUCUCUGGGCCUUACCUGACGCUGAGGAGCGAAAGCGUGGGGAGCGAACAGG